rnacentral:rRNA from 1 species
GACGAACGCUGGCGGCGUGCCUAAUACAUGCAAGUUGAGCGAUGAAGCUUGGUGCUUGCUCCUAUUUGAAGAGCAGCGAACGGGUGAGUAACGCGUGGGGAAUCUGCCUUUGAGCGGGGGACAACAUUUGGAAACGAAUGCUAAUACCGCAUAACAACUUUAAACAUAAGUUUUAAGUUUGAAAGAUGCAAUUGCAUCACUCAAAGAUGAUCCCGCGUUGUAUUAGCUAGUUGGUGAGGUAAAGGCUCACCAAGGCGAUGAUACAUAGCCGACCUGAGAGGGUGGUCGGCCACAUUGGGACUGAGACACGGCCCCAACUCCUACGGGAGGGAGCAGUAAGGAAUCUUCGGCCAUGGACGAAAGUCUGACCGGGCAACGCCGCGUGAGGGGAGGAGGGUUUCGGAUCGGAAAACUCUGUUGGUAGGGAAGAACGUUGGUGGGAGUGGAAAGCUCAUCAAGUGACGGUAACUACCCAGAAAGGGACGGCUAACUACGUG